UUUUAAGGAGAUGCCUACAUAGAAGAGUGACAGCAGGUGAACUAAAUGUUUAACUGCUGAACUAGUUCCUCAGGUAUCCUGGCUCUAGAGAUUGCUAUGGGAGAUUGGAUGACUGUUACAGAUCCAGGUCUGUCUUCAGAAAGCAAAACUAUCUCUCAAUAUACCUCAGAAACAAAGAUGUCUCCAUCAAGUUUAUACUCACAGCAAGUGCUAUGUUCUUCAAUACCUUUAUCGAAAAAUGUGCACAGUUUUUUCAGUGCCUUCUGCACAGAAGAUAAUAUUGAACAGAGUAUUUCAUAUCUUGAUCAGGUAACAUGUUUUUGUAAAAAACAAUAGCAUAAAUCAUGUUAUAUAAUAGAAUGUAUCAAAAUUAUGAGAAAAACAUUUGUCAAACACAAGUUUGUUGUUAUGUAGUGCCCCUGAGACUUAGAUUUUCAGAGAACCUUGGUGAUUAUCUCAUCUAGAGAUAGCAAGUCUAACUUUUUUGUUUGGAGCCGCUUCGCCUCCUCAUUGUCCCAGGGGCUCCUCUACUGAGAGUCCAGCCAUCACUUUAUGGAUGCAGAAACCCAUGUGCCUUGCUCCAUGUCACAGAUUUAUAGCAGAGGCUAAAAGAUCCCUGUCCUCUUAACUCUUUGUCCUUUGGGAUAUUGACCAUUUUCUUAACUAUUUCAAGAUAGUUUUCUAUUUUUCUAAGAAAAGAUUUCUAUCUUUUGAUUUUUUUUAAUUAAGUUGUCCAGUAACCAACCUUUUAAAAUAAUUCACAUUUAUUUUUAAUUUUUGACAAAAAGUGUAUAUAUUUGUCAUGUUCAACAUGUUUCAGAAUACACGUUGUGAAAUGGCUCAGUGUGCAUACCUCACAUACUUAUAUCAUUUUUUGUGGUGAGAAUUUACUCGCUCAGCAAUUUCAGGAAUAUAGUACAUAGUUAUUAGCUGAGGUCACCGUGUUGUACAAUAGAUCUAUUGAACUUAUUCUUCCUAUCUAACUGAAAGUUUGUAUCCUCUGACCAGUGUCUCCUCAACUGUAACCAACUUUAAGAAAACAUUUUCUCCUACCAGGAAUUGACUACUUUUGGUUUUCCUUCAUUAUAUGAAGAAUCCAAAGGUAAAGAGACAAAGAGAGAGUUAAAUAUAGUAGCUGUUUUAAAUUGUAUGAAUGAGCUGCUUGUGCUUCAGCGGAAGAACCUUCUAGCUCAGGAAAAUGUGGAGACACAGAAUUUGAAGCUGGGAAGUGAUAUGGACCAUCUACAGAGCUGCUACUCAAAACUUAAGGAACAAUUGGAAACCUCCAGGAGGGAAAUGAUUGGGCUUCAGGAAAGAGACAGACAGUUACAAUGUAAGAACAGGAAUUUGCAUCAGCUACUAAAGAAUGAGAAAGAUGAGGUACAAAAAUUGCAAAAUAUCAUUGCAAGUCGAGCUACUCAGUAUAAUCAUGAUAUGAAGAGAAAAGAGCGUGAAUAUAAUAAACUGAAGGAACGUCUACAUCAACUUGUUAUGAACAAGAAAGAUAAGAAAAUAGCUAUGGACAUUUUGAAUUAUGUCGGGAGAGCUGAUGGAAAAAGAGGCUCCUGGAGGACUGGUAAAACUGAAGCCAGGUGAAGUCCAGUUUAAAUUGAUAAAUGUAAUCAGACUUCCUUCUAUCCUGCAUUUUCAUACUGACAGUUUCUUUCUCAGGAAUGAAGAUGAAAUGUAUAAAAUUCUCUUGAAUGAUUAUGAAUAUCGUCAGAAACAAAUCCUAAUGGAAAAUGCAGAACUUAAGAAGGUUCUUCAACAAAUGAAAAAGGAAAUGAUUUCUCUUCUUUCUCCCCAAAAGAAGAAACCUAGAGAAAGAGUAGAUGAUAGUACAGGAACUGUUAUUUCUGAUGUUGAAGAAGAUGCCGGGGAACUAAGCAGAGAGAGUAUGUGGGACCUUUCCUGUGAAACUGUGAGAGAGCAGCUUACAAACAGCAUCAGAAAACAGUGGAGAAUUUUGAAAAGUCAUGUAGAAAAACUUGAUAACCAAGGUAACCACUGCUUCUAUGCAUGUAAAGUGAGUUGUGACAUUUGGUAAGGUGUUGAUUUUUAGUCACUUAGAAAGCCACAUUAUAGGCUUAGAGCUAAAGUACUAUACUUCA
rnacentral:sRNA from 1 species